rnacentral:rRNA from 1 species
UACGUAGGGCGCAAGCGUUGUCCGGAAUUAUUGGGCGUAAAGAGCUCGUAGGCGGCUUGUCGCGUCGGAUGUGAAAGCUCGGGGCUUAACCCCGGGUCUGCAUUCGAUACGGGCAGGCUAGAGUGUGGUAGGGGAGAUCGGAAUUCCUGGUGUAGCGGUGAAAUGCGCAGAUAUCAUUUGGAACGCCAAUGGUGAAAACAGGUCGCUGGGAGUGUGCUGACGCUGAGACACGAAAGCCAGGGGAGCAAACGGG